rnacentral:lncRNA from 1 species
AAAUCUAGGGACUGAUGAGCAAAAUACAAAAAAAUACACCUUAACCUAGAAUCUACCUAUAAAAUAAUGCUUAAAAAAUGGGAUCUUUCAUUUAGCAAAUACACGACCCCUCCCCCUUUUUGAACUUCCAUCUUCUUCAUGGAAACAAAAAACUCUAAUACCUAUAUACACAUGGAAGCCAAGUGAUCAGAUUUGACAAAAAUGACCUAAGACCUUUCUUCUUCAAACAAAAACUUAGAAAAGAUAGGUUGCUUCUUCUUCAAAAAAAUAAAAACAAAAACGCAUGGACCUAGCAAGAAGAUCAUGAAGCUGCUGCAGAACCAAACGACUAUACCCCAACUCACCAUCGCUGCUGUUUCUUUCCCUUCCUCCACCCUCUACUGUCUUUAUAUUGUCAAAGUCGUAUUGUCGAUGAUGAACGAGUAGAAAACAGUACACUGUUUCAUUACCAUUGUUCCCGUGUGCUUUACUUCUAUGUCGGAUGGGUUUAGAUCUAACAGGUUCUGGAUUUUGUAAUGUUUUUGUGCUGAGUUUUGCUAGACUCAGUUCUUUGGCAUUCCUUCGCGUGUGUCAUUUGGCUGUGGUUCCGGUAUCGCUAUCGUUAUGGUAGUAGCGUCAAUUGUUCCGGCGAGUGUCGAGGUUUCAAUCGAGGUUCCGUCUUCAUUUUCGGUCGAGUUUGAGUUGUCGGCAUUUGAUGUUGCUGUAAACAAAUUGGAGUUUUCGUAUAUAAAUUGACUCAUAUAUAAAAGGUUUGUUUUCUUAAUUCUCAUUGUUCAUUCAGCUUUUUACAGUAGAGUGUUUGGACUGUUUUGUUUUUCUUUAUGUUAUUGUCUCCUCAUCGAUUUUAUGCUCUUGUUAUAAUAGCUUCUUAAUACUUAUUGUUAGUUUAGAAGCCAACUUUAAAGGUUUCUUUCAAAACAUGGACUUAAUUAAAUUGGACCUAAUUGUAUAAUUAUUUCAAUAGUUAGCUUAAUUGUAUAAUAUUAUUUUUUGAAUCUAUGACACUUCAUUUAUAUGCAUGAUUCGAAAGGGAAUAGGCAUGUAUCCAUGUGCAUGAUUUGGCAAGAUUCAGCUAAUUGAUCUAAUAUCGAUGCUCAUAGUUGCUUUAGGAGUGUAAUUUAAACUGCUCUUCUAAAUUUAUUUUUUUUGGCAAUUCACUAUACAAGCGCCUAGGGGUAGUUUUCAUUAAUAAUUCUCUCUCUAGGGUGCACAUUUAUGUGACUCAAAUUC